rnacentral:rRNA from 1 species
CCCUUAGAUGUUCUGGGCCGCACGCGUGCUACACUGAGUGGAUCAGCGGGUUAGGUAACACGAAAGUGUAUCCUAAUCUUCAAAUCCGCUCGUGAUGGGGAUUGACGGUUGCAAUUUUCUGUCAUGAACGAGGAAUACCUUGUAAGCGCGGGUCAUCAUCCCGCGCUGAAUACGUCCCUGCCCUUUGUACACACCGCCCGUCGCUCCUACCGAUUGAGUGGUUCGGUGAGGCUUUGGGAUCUGAGCGGAAAGAGCGUUUCGCUGUUUCUGCUCGGAAAACUCAGUCGAACCUUAUCAUUUAGAGGAAGGAGAAGUCGUAACA